GAUGAACGCUGGCGGCGUGCCUAAUACAUGCAAGUCGAGCGAACGGACGAGAAGCUUGCUUCUCUGAUGUUAGCGGCGGACGGGUGAGUAACACGUGGAUAACCUACCUAUAAGACUGGGAUAAUUUCGGGAAACCGUAGCUAAUACCGGAUAAUCUUUUGAUCCGCAUGGUUCAAAAGUGAAAGACGGUCUUGCUGUCACUUAUAGAUGGAUCCGCGCUGCAUUAGCUAGUUGUUAAGGUAACGGCUUACCAAGGCAACGAUGCAUAGCCGACCUGAGAGAGGGAUCGGCCACACGGGAACGGAGACACGGUACAGGGGCAUAAGGGAGGCAGCAGUAGGGAAUCGUCCGCAGUGGGCGAGAGCAUGACGGAGCAACGCGACGUGAGUGAUGAAAGUCUUCGGAGCGUAAAACUCUGUUAUUAGGGAAAAACAUAUGUGUAAGUAACUGUGCACAUCGUGACGGUACCUAAUCAGGAAGCAACGGCUAACUACGUG
rnacentral:rRNA from 1 species